AGGGAGAUCAUCUCCUUGGGAAUUGUGAUGGUUUUAUGACUUCACACCUGCAGAUUAAACUGUCAGUUACUGUAAGUUAUCAGUUAUCAGAGUGAAGAUACUUCCCAAUAGGCAGGUUGGUCUUCAGAAGGGCUCCUGGAUUCUGGGGAAUUUUCCCUUUUUUUGUAAUCAGCUAUCAGAGGGAAGAAAACAGCGGGACAGGUGUAAGGCUGAGCAAAAUCUACUGAAAUACUUGCACAUUGCAAGAAAUGUGUAAGAGCAGAUUCAUCACCUUCAAAAUGCGAGAUCUGGGAACAAGGACUGAUAUCACACAGCAUCUUUCUCUAGAAUUUUCAAUAUAUCUCAGAAAUAUGACAAAGGAGAGCAGAAAACCCACGCAAUGAGAGAAAAACAUGUUACUUUAUUAUUUAUUCAUUCAUUCAUUUAAUUAAUUUCUAUACUACCCAUCA